rnacentral:lncRNA from 1 species
GUGAUUUUCUUUCACUCCAGUAUCAUUUGUACGUUGCAGCAUCAUCAAACACUAUGGCCGAUGAAUCAGAAGAUGACGUAGAUGCUACGAGAGAGCUCAUUUCACAAUGGACAACAGAAGUGAUACGUGACUUUCUACAAGGAGGGGACUCAAGCUUGGAAAUUGAGGAGUCAUUAUUUUAUGGGUGUUCUCUGCCCUGACGCUGGGGGUACUGUUCAGCCAUCCGAGGUAGAGAGGGACUGGACGAUGGAUGGAUGGGGGGGGGGGGGGAAGAAAGGCAUGCAGAGAUGGCCGUCUUCUAUGUAUAAAGACAUUUGUGUGCUACUGGAUAAGGACCCUCCAUCACUAGAGGGAAGAAUAAUGAGAGACUACAAAUAGGGGAAGGCAUUUAGUUAUUUUGCCAGUUUCUGGUUAGGGAGACAUUUGUUUCAUCUCCUGGGAGAAAGCUGUCUUAAAUUCAAAAUGUAUUUGAUACUUGAAUAAAUUUAGUUCAUUUUCUAGA